GCCUGGGUGGCUUAGUCGGUUAAGUGUCUGACUCUUGACCUCGGCUCAGGUCCUGAUCUCACAGUUCAUGGGUUCGAACCCCAACUGGGGCU
rnacentral:tRNA from 1 species